rnacentral:rRNA from 1 species
ACAGUCUUAGUUCGGAUUGUAGGCUGCAACUCGCCUACAUGAAGUCGGAAUUGCUAGUAAUCGCGGAUCAGCAUGCCGCGGUGAAUACGUUCCCGGGCCUUGUACACACCGCCCGUCACACCAUGGAAGUCUGCAAUGCCCGAAGCCGGUGGCCUAACCACUUAUGUGGAAGGAGCCGUCUAAGGCAGGGCAGAUGACUGGGGUGAAGUCGUAACAAGGUAGC